rnacentral:rRNA from 1 species
ACUCAAAUGAAUUGACGGGGGCCCGCACAAGCGGUGGAUUAUGUGGUUUAAUUCGAAGCAACGCGAAAAACCUUACCUGGGCUUGAAAUCCUACGAAUCCUCCCGAAAAGGAGGAGUGCUCUUUGGAGAAUGUAGUGACAGGCGCUGCAUGGCUGUCGUCAGCUCGUGUCGUGAGAUGUUGGGUUAAGUCUCGCAACGAGCGCAACCCCUAUUCUUAGUUGCCAGCAUUAAGUUGGGCACUCUAAGAAGACCGCCUAGGUUAACUAGGAGGAAGGUGGGGAUGACGUCAAGUCCUCAUGGCCCUUAUGUCCAGGGCUACACACGUAAUACAAUGGCCAAUACAGAGGGAUGCGAACUCGCGAGGGGGAGCAAAUCUCAAAAAGUUGGUCUCAGUCCGGAUUGGAGUCUGCAACUCGACUCCAUGAAGUUGGAAUCGCUAGUAAUCGCGGAUCAGCACGCCGCGGUGAAUACGUUCCCGGGCCUUGUACACACCGCCCGU